rnacentral:rRNA from 1 species
ACAGCAGCAGCCGCGGGAAUACAGAGGGUGCGAGCGUUAAUCGGAUUUACUGGGCGUAAAGCGUGCGUAGGCGGCUUUUUAAGUCGGAUGUGAAAUCCCUGAGCUUAACUUAGGAAUUGCAUUCGAUACUGGGAAACUAGAGUAUGGGAGAGGAUGGUAGAAUUCCAGGUGUAGCGGUGAAAUGCGUAGAGAUCUGGAGGAAUACCGAUGGCGAAGGCAGCCAUCUGGCCUAAUACUGACGCUGAGGUACGAAAGCAUGGGGAGCAAACAGGAUUAGAUACCCCAGUAGUCCCUGUCUCUUAUAC